CUAGUAACGGCGAGUGAAGCGGGAAAAGCUCAAAUUUGAAAUCUGGCGGNCUACGGCCGUCCGAGUUGUAGUCUAGAGAGGUGUCUUCUGCGUCGGACCAUGCACAAGUCCCUUGGAACAGGGCGUCAUAGAGGGUGAGAAUCCCGUCCGUGGCAUGGACUCCCGGUGCUUUGUGAUGCGCCUUCGAAGAGUCGAGUUGUUUGGGAAUGCAGCUCAAAAUGGGUGGUAAAUUCCAUCUAANGCUAAAUACAGGCGAGAGACCGAUAGCGAACAAGUACCGUGAGGGAAAGAUGAAAAGCACUUUGGAAAGAGAGUUAAACAGUACGUGAAAUUGUUGAAAGGGAAACGCUUGGAGUCAGUCGCGUUUGCCGGGACUCAGCCUUGCUUCUGCUUGGUGCACUUCCUGGUACACGGGCCAGCAUCGAUUUUGAUCGCCGGAAAAAGGCUUGGGGAAGGUGGCACCUUCGGGUGUGUUAUAGCCCCUUGUUGUAUACGGUGGUUGGGAUUGAGGACCGCAGCACGCCUUUUGGUCGGGGUUCGCCCACGCCACGUGCUUAGGAUGCUGGCGUAAUGGCUUUAAACGACCCGUCUUGAAACACGGACCAAGGAGUCUAACAUGCCUGCGAGUGUUUGGGUGUAAAACCCAGGCGCGUAAUGAAAGUGAAAGGUUGGGACUCUUCGCUGAGGCACCGACGCCCGAUCCUGAC
rnacentral:rRNA from 1 species